GUGUCAGCAGCCGCGGUAAUACGGAGGGUGCGAGCGUUGUCCGGAAUCACUGGGCGUAAAGGGCGCGUAGGUGGCGCGGGUAGUCGUCGGUGAAAGCUCAGGGCUCAACCCUGAGUCGGCCGGUGAUACUCCCGUGCUCGAGUGUGGUAGAGGCCAAUGGAAUUCCGGGUGUAGCGGUGGAAUGCGUAGAGAUCCGGAAGAACACCGGUGGCGAAGGCGGUUGGCUGGGCCACAACUGACACUGAUGCGCGACAGCGUGGGGAGCAAACAGGAUUAGAUACCCUGGUAGUCC
rnacentral:rRNA from 1 species